rnacentral:rRNA from 1 species
UGAACGCUAGCGACAGGCCUAACACAUGCAAGUCGAGGGGCAGCACAAGGAGCAAUCUGAGGUGGCGACCGGCGCACGGGUGAGUAACACGUAUGCAACCUGCCUGUAAGCGGGGAAUAACCCGUUGAAAGACGGACUAAUACCGCAUAAUACUAAAUUACUGCAUGGUAAUUUAUUUAAACAUUUAUGGCUUACAGAUGGGCAUGCGCAUGAUUAGCUAGUUGGAGAGGUAACGGCUCCCCAAGGCAACGAUCAUUAGGGGUUCUGAGAGGAAGGUCCCCCACACUGGUACUGAGACACGGACCAGACUCCUACGGGAGGCAGCAGUGAGGAAUAUUGGUCAAUGGACGAGAGUCUGAACCAGCCAAGUCGCGUGCAGGAAGAAUGUCCUUAAUGGAUUGUAAACUGCUUUUGCAGGGGAAUAAAGUGCAUCACGUGUGAUGUUUUGUAUGUACUCUGCGAAUAAGGAUCGGCUAACUCCGUGCCAGCAGCAGC